rnacentral:misc_RNA from 1 species
UCCGGUUUAACACCGGCAGUCUCCUCAGAGUGCCCAACUUAAUGCUGGCAACUAAGGACAAGGGUUGCGCUCGUUGCGGGACUUAACCCAACAUCUUACGACACGAGCUGACGACAGCCAUGCAGCACCUAUCUCCAUGUCCCCGAAGGGAAGGCCACAUCUCUGUGGAUGUCAUGGGAUGUUAAGACCAGGUAAGGUUCUGCGCGUUGCUUCGAAUUAAACCACAUACUCCACCGCUUGUGCGGGCCCCCGUCAAUUCCUUUGAGUUUUAGCCUUGCGACCGUACUCCCCAGGCGGGAUACUUAAUGCGUGAGCUACGGUACCCAGAGGGUUAACACUCCGGCCACCUAGUACCCAUAGUUUACGGCGUGGACUAC